rnacentral:rRNA from 1 species
CCUACGGGCGGCAGCAGUGGGGAAUAGUGGGCAAUGGGCGCAAGCCUGACCCAGCAACGCCGCGUGCAGGAAGACGGCUCUAUGAGUUGUAAACUGCUUUUGUACGAGGGUAAACUCAGAUACGCGUAUCUUUCUGAAAGUAUCGUACGAAUAAGGAUCGGCUACCUCCGUGCCAGCAGCCGCGGUAAUACGGAGGAUUCAAGCGUUAUCCGGAUUUAUUGGGUUUAAAGGGUGCGUAGGCGGUCUGAUAAGUUAGAGUUCAAAUCCCGAGGCUCAACUUCGGAAUUGCCUCUGAUACUGUUCGGCUAGAGAGUAGUUGAGGUAGGCGGAAUGUGUGGUGUAGCGGUGAAAUGCUUAGAGAUCAUACAGAACACCGAUUGCGAAGGCAGCUUACCAAGCUACUUCUGACGUUGAGGCACGAAAGCGUGGGGAGCAAACAGGAUUAGAUACCCCUGUAGUG